rnacentral:lncRNA from 1 species
AUCUGAAUGAAGCCUGGAUCGUGAUCAACUCUUUGAUUUUUUUUAAUAUUCUUCUUUUAUUCUUCUUUUAUUUUUCUUUCCUUGAUUAUGAAGCAAUCGGAGACUAGAAACCAGCAAAUAAAGGGGAUGGCCAAACUCCUUUGGGCGUGGAAGAUGGAGGAUGCCCAACCCUUGGGCGUUGGCUCUUCAAGAAAGAAGAGAGGGGAGA